rnacentral:rRNA from 1 species
ACUUAAAUUGAAGAGUUUGAUCAUGGCUCAGAUUGAACGCUGGCGGCAGGCCUAACACAUGCAAGUCGAGCGGUAGCACAGAGAGCUUGCUCUCGGGUGACGAGCGGCGGACGGGUGAGUAAUGUCUGGGAAACUGCCUGAUGGAGGGGGAUAACUACUGGAAACGGUAGCUAAUACCGCAUAAUGUCGCAAGACCAAAGUGGGGGACCUUCGGGCCUCAUGCCAUCAGAUGUGCCCAGAUGGGAUUAGCUAGUAGGU